UACUUUUUACAUCUUCGUUAAAUCAUUUGCUUGAAGUCUAACCCCCUCCUAUUUGCACAAGUUCAAGCCACGACGAUGAAGAUGGAAAUGACCAGCACACUCAUCCCAGCUUAUUAGAUUUCCAAAUUAAGAAGUCUUUUCUGCAUCAAGAGCAUAGAAUAUGAUACACUGAACCUCAAGCUCAUGAGAGUCAUGAAAGCCUUAAAAAGAGAUUUGAAAACCUCCAUUGGGUCCUGUCUAGUCAAUUGCUAGCUUCUACCUAGCUGUACACAAAGAAGACUGCUUCCAGAUCAAACCAUGACAAUCGGUGGAUAUUUCAGAUAUGUGGAACUUCCCUUCCAUGACUCCUUAAAAGAGCCAAAGGAUGGUUAUUCACGGCACCAAGUGGCAUGUUGCUGGAAAAUUUUGAAGUAGAGCUGAAAUUAUGUGAAUCAUAAACCAACUGUGUUGUAGAUAGAGAAGGAAGGACUUCAAGUGGAGAACAUGGAGAGUGAAAAGAAACUGCAGCAGAAUUGAAUGUUUUGACACAACUUUGUUGAAAGGUUUCACUAUUGCUGGGCAUUUUAUCAUUCAUAAUCCGUGUGCCUGGAGAGGUUGGCAUCAAAUCAAUUUUUUGUGCAGCACAAUCUCUGGAACAUUGUGACUUAUCCAUGAGGUUUAUUGCUGAUAAUGCCUGUCUGCAGGUCAACAAAUUGAGUUCACUUGAAUUUCGCACAAAAGGAUGCUCAAGUAGCAUAUUAGCAGAUGGUCGCUCUGCAGGAUUUCUUUGAAAGCAACAGCAGAGAAAAUCUUUAGCUUCUGGAGACAAUACAUCUGGUAUAGGUGGAGUUUUGUUCAAAACCUUGAACAUUGCUUGAGGCCCUUGAAGAUCGCCCCAGGGAGGUUUACCAGUAAACAUCUCAAUGACAGUACAACCCAAGCUCCAUAUAUCAACUGCCAAAGCAAGAUCAGAAUUGGCAUCUUUCUGCAUCACAGCUUUUAUGACCUCUGGAGCCAUCCAGUGUGGACUGCCCUUCAAAGACAAUUCAUACGAUAGUCCAGUAAGACAUUUUGCCAUCCCAAAAUCUGCUAACUUAACAACACCUGACGAAUCAACAAGCAAAUUUGCUCCUUUAAU
rnacentral:misc_RNA from 1 species